rnacentral:tRNA from 1 species
GCCCAGGUGGCUCAGUGGUUUAGCACCUGCCUUCAGCCCAGGGCCUGAUGCUAGAGACCUGGGAUCGAGUCCCACCUUGGGCC